CUAGGCUAGAGUUGUCCAGAACAAAUCAAUUCUACAAUUAUCAGAGGAUAGAAACGUGUCCAAUAUUUUGUUUGGUACAACUGGAAAUACUGGACACAGACCUCCAUUUUUGAUUCAGAGAGUGAAAUUGAAAGCUGCCAUCCACUAUGGAGUAGGCAAGUGUUGUACAAAGUUUGAAGAGGAGGAGGACUUUCAUGGGACCCAGUUCUCUGUGCAUUUCAAGAACAUAUUAGCAGAGGCCACAUUUAAACAGUUACAGAAGUGGACAACUGACCUGGAACUUUUUGCUAAGCAUGCUAGGCGAACAACAAUAAAUUGUGAUGAUGUGAAACUGUUAGUAAGAACUACACCUCAACUGGCUGAUUAUCUGGAAGAUUCAUGUGCGGAGAUUGAAAGUAAUAAAAAGAAAUCUAAGAAAAACAAAAAAACUGCAAGAACUGAAGCCAUAGACUCUGACUGAAGUUUUAAGUUUUUCCAAGGAACUUCAUUUUUUCACGAGAAGAAACAUGGCUUUAUCCAUGCUAUGUAAGAGGAUUUUUCGUGUAUCCCUGGCAAAUUCUAUGUCCAGGCAGUCCCCGACUUUAUCCAUUAUUGUAAAACAAAAAAUAAUUAGUAACGCUCAAAUGGUAGACUCUAGUGUGGAGGGACACAAGGGAAGAAGAUGGUUAUGUACAGAAUCCAAUGAACAUGGAAAACACCGCCACUGUUGGAAAUGUAAGAGAAAAUUAGAUGAACUGGAAGUGUACUUCUGCAAGUGUGGAAUAAUUCAGCCUUUAGAUUCUGAUUGGUCAUACUUUGAAAUAAUGGGAACACCGCAGCAGUUUGACAUUGACACCAAUAGUUUAACUAAACAUUAUAGAGGGCUACAGAAACAUUUACAUCCUGAUAAAUACAGCCAGAAGUCUGAUCUUGAAAGGGAAUAUUCCGAGGCCCAAUCUAGCAUUGUAAACAAGGCAUAUAAUACAUUGCUUAAGCCGUUAUCUAGGGGGCUCUAUCUCCUUGAAUUACAUGGUGAAACUAUAGAGGAAGAUCAGAUUGAAUUUGAACCCGAUUUCCUUAUGGACAUUAUGGAAGUGAAUGAAACAUUGGCCAAUAGUGCUGAUAAUGCAGACACAGUAAGGUUAAUACAGAAAGAAAAUCGUAAAAUUAUUAACGGUUUUAUUGUAGAAUUAACAGAUGCCUUUGCAAAUGAGAAUAUCAAGAAGGCCAAAGAGUUGUUGUCAAGGCUGAAAUAUUAUGCUAAUAUUGAUGAGAAGGUUAAACAGAUUCAGAGGGAUAAGGGCUACAUGUCCUCAUACUUUUGAGACUUAUUUUUGUACAUUUCAAUAUACGCAAUACUGUUAGAGAAAUCUUGUCUUAAAGAUUUUGUAUAGUAACUGAAUUCAGAAGAAGGAUGUUCAAAGUAAGUUGUAUAAGAGGUCUAGGAUACAAAUUUUAAUUUAAAAAAAAUGUGAUUUUAUAUUGAUUAUUAUAUGUGUGUUCUUGUUUCUUUCUAUGUCAUCAUCAAAAGUGGUGAUAUAUCAGCAUAUUGUUAUCGUCUUGGUGACGGUGGUUGGUGUCCAGCGUCUGGUAUUCGGUGUCUGUAACAAAUGGCAGUUAUGACACUUUUAUAUAUUAAUAGUAAUACCUUGUUUUAUUCAAGAGAGAAUCAGAUCUAGCGAACCAUCAAGUUAGCUUUUAGUUUUAAUAAAAAAUUGUUUCAAUUUUAGAAAAAUUUUGGCUCAGUAUUUUAUUCCAGGAAAACAAAA
rnacentral:misc_RNA from 1 species